UGCCACAGCCAUAUCACCCUGCAGCCCAAGACUGGUUGCCCACUGAAGCUAAGCAGGGCUGAGCCUGGUCAGUACCUGGAUGGGAGACCUCUUGGGAAAACUAGGUUGCUGCUGGAA
ensembl:rRNA 5S_rRNA 5S ribosomal RNA